rnacentral:rRNA from 1 species
UACGUAGGGGGCGAGCGUUGUCCGGAAUCACUGGGCGUAAAGGGUGCGUAGGCGGCUUGUUAAGUCUCGUGUGAAAUCUCCCGGCUCAACCGGGAGGGGCCAGGGGAAACUGACAAGCUGGAGUGCCGGAGAGGGUCGCGGAAUUCCAGGUGUAGCGGUGGAAUGCGUAGAUAUCUGGAGGAACACCAGUGGCGAAGGCGGCGACCUGGACGGUAACUGACGCUGAGGCACGAAAGCUGGGGGAGCAAACAGG